rnacentral:lncRNA from 1 species
GUCGCAUGCCUGGCCCCGUGCAGAGGGCGGGGGCAGGCGGGUGGGGUUGAGGCUGCUGCCGCCAAGUUAGAUCGGCAUAUCCGGGAUUGCGUCGCGUGAGGUCCGCCGGGGGAAAGUAACGGCAUGCCCAUAUCCACCCUCCUGGCUUUGCACUUCCGCCAGCAACACCGGGCCCCCUUACCGCCGCUGUCCCCCGUUCCCGCUAUGCAACACCUCGCUCACCCCCUCUGGUCUACCGUCUACCACUUCCUUAACUAAUCAUGAAUGUAACCCCUCCCUCCCUCGCUCCAUCCCUCCCCUCUCUCGCACUCUCUCUCCUCACAUGCACGUCCACGCGUUCACACACACAGACACACACACACACACACAAACACACACAUACACGCACACACAUACACACACGUCCCCCCCGCACACACGAAUACGCCUGAAGACUCCCCCCGCCCGGCCCUUGUGCCGCAGUCCUCCGCGGGCGGGCUGGUGUCUGCGCUCAAGGGCGUGAGUAACUACGUGACGCUGUGGAUCGGCUGGCCCGGCAUCUGGGUCAAGGCCGGCCGCGAGCGGGACGAGCUGACGGCCAUGCUCAAGAGCGAGGGCUACUGCCCCGUGUGGAUGGACCACACGCUGGUGAGGGGGUGAGGGGAAGGGGAAGGGGAAGGGGAAGGGGAAGGGGAAGGGGAAGGGGAAGGGGAAGGGGAAGGGGAGGGGGUGAGGGGAAGGGGAAGGGGAAGGGGAAGGGGAAGGGGAAGGGGAAGGGGAAGGGGAAGGGGAAGGGGAAGGGGAAGGGGAAGGGGAAGGGGAAGGUGAGGGGGUGAGGGGAAGGGGAAGGGGAAGGGGAAGGGGAAGGGGAAGGGGAAGGGGAAGGGGAAGGGGAAGGGGAAGGGGAAGGGGAGGGGGGAAGGGGAAGGGGAAGGGGAAGGGGAAGGGGAAGGGGAAGGGGAAGGGGAAGGGGAAGGGGAAGGGGGACGGGGAGGGGGACGCUAGGGGAGGGAAGAAGGAGGGGCAGGGGGAAGGGGAGGGGAGGGGGCGCUCUGAAUGACCGGAAGCAUCCUUGCCUGCCACGCCGGCCCCGCCGCUCAGCCAACCGCUCUGCACUCACCAACCAACCAACCGCCCAACUAACCAACCGCUCACACAGCUGGACCUGUACUACAACGGCUUCUGCAACAGCGUGCUGUGGCAGCUGUUCCACUACGUGCCGCUCAACAUCGACAGCUGGCAGAAGAUGGCGGAGCACCGCGCCAUGCAGAUGCAGUGGCAGGCCUACCAGGUGGGCUGGGGUGGGGGGGUAGGGGCUGGGGGGUUGGGGUUGCGUGGGGGUUGCGUGGGGGGUGGGGUGCUCGUGGGGGGUGGGGUGCUCGUGGGGGUGGCGGGGGUGGGGGUGGGGUGGGGUGGGGGAUAGGGGCUGGGGCGGGGUGGGGAGGUGGCCGUCCAUGCAUAAAGGAGAUGGGAGGGCUGGAGGGAUGGUAGGAACAACCCCCCACCCCCCCCCCACCCCCCAACCACCCACCACCCAACCACCGCCACCAACCAGCACCCAACCACCCCAACCACCCCAACCACCGCCACCACUCCACCUCCAACAGGUGGCCAACGAGAAGUUCGCGGACGUGGUUCUGGAGGAGUACAGCUCGCAGGACGUGGUGUGGGUGCAGGACUACCACCUCAUGCUGCUGCCCAGCCUGCUCAAGCAGGCCGUGCACAAGGUGCGCGAGCCGGCUGGGGGCAGCUGGGGGCGGAGGGGGGCGGGGUGGAGAGGAGGGAGGUGGCGUGGAGAGGACGGAGGAGGGAGGAGGGAGGGGGGCGGAGGAUUGCCUGCGUGCGAGGCAAAGGGCUUGCUUGUGCGGCGGCGUGGGGCACAAGGUGACGAACGAAGGCGUGCAGGCGUCGUAUGUGUGUGUGUGUGGGGGGGGGAUCCAGCUUUGCACUCAUAGCUGUGGCAGCCCACAAACAUGUAAUGUAAUCACUCCGUUCUCCACAUGAACGGCUGCCCCCGCCCCCCUUAACUAAUCAUGAAUGUAACCCCCCCGCACAGAUGAAGGUGGGCUUCUUCCUGCACACGCCCUUCCCCUCCUCCGAGAUCUACCGCACACUGCCCGUGCGCGAGGAGGUGAGGGGGGGCAAGGAGAUACAAAGGGAGCGCAGCGGCAUGCACCGUCCUGCCUGUUUAGCUUCUAUACGCGCCCAUUAGCUCCUCAGCCUAAGCACACGCCUCGCCUUUCUUGUGCGUCCCGCCCCUGCCCUUGCCGCCCCUGCCCUUGCCGCCCCGCGCCCACUGCCCCCCUUCUCGCUCUCCCCCCCCCCCCCCAGGUGCUCCGGGCGGUGCUGGCUGCCGACCUGGUGGGCUUCCACACCUACGACUACGCCCGCCACUUCAUCUCCAGCUGCACCCGCAUCCUGGGGCUGGAGGGCACGCCCGAGGGUGAGGCGCCGGGCUGGAGGGCACGCCCGAGGGUGGGGCGCCGGGGGGCUGGGGGAGGGGGAGGGGCCACGGGGGAUGAGGAGCUUUGGGGGGUUGGAGGGGUGUUCAGGGCUGGUCAGGGCUGGUCAGGGGGCGUGGGUGGCGACACAAGGUGCUAUGGGAAGGACAGCCCUAGGACGAUGCGGAGGGCUUGGAGCCCUUGUCUUUCGCCGCUGCGUGCCCGCCGGCGUUGCAGCCGGGCCAUCGAGCGCUGCUCGCGGCAUACGCCAUCAUGCCCCCUGAAGGCCGCCCUGAUCUGUGCUGUGUGCGGCGCACUGUGCCCUGCCGCUGCCCCUGCCGCUGCCCCUGCCGCUGCCCCUGCCUCCCCGUGCCUCCUCCCAUGUCUACUUCGCUGCACUUCUCUGUACCAAUCUUUGCAACCCCCGCCCUUCGCCUUCACUUCUUACGUAAUCAUGAAUGAAACCUCCGCGCCCCCUCCCCAGGCGUGGAGAACAACGGCGUGCUGACGCGCGUGGGCACCUUCCCCAUCGGCAUCGACCCGGAGCGCUUCACGCGCGCGCUGGAGAGCGAGGAGGUCAACAGCCAGACCGCCAAGCUGCUCAACAGAUAUGCGGGCCGCAAGGUGAGCGGCAGAGAGGGGGAGGGAGGGAGAGGGAGAGGGAGAGGGAGAGGGAGAGGGAGAGGGAGAGGGAGAGGGAGAGGGAGAGGGGGAGGGGGAGGGGGAGAGGGAGGGCCGCCGGCAACAGCCCCGCCGCCGUCGUCUCCCCGAGGCCCCGGUGGCGCAUCCUCUCCCUGCUGCUCAAGUCUGGCCUGGCUGCAUGCCUACUGGGCGGCUGCGUCUCAGCAACUCGUGUUUUACCACUUGCUAGCAAUCGGGAAUCCAGCCCACCGCACACCCAUCCAGCUCCUUGUACCCCCCCCCCCUGACGCCGCCCUCUUCCCCCCGUCUACCGUUUCCUUAGCUAAUCAUGCAUGUAAGUCCCCCUCCUCCUCCUCCUCCCCCCUCUCCCUCCUCCUCCGCCCCCCCCCCUGCAUCACCAGAUCAUGCUGGGUGUGGACCGGCUGGACAUGGUCAAGGGCAUCCCGCAGAAGCUCCUGGCCUACGAGAAGUUCUUGGAGGAGCACCCCGAGUGGAGGGACAAGGUGGGGAGCAGGGGGGGCAGGGGGAGGGAGGUUAUGAGUACCAGCCCACACUAAACCGAACCCAAUGCAAAAGAGCGAGGAUGAGAGCGUGGCGUAUGCUAUGACAACGGGAGGGAGGAGCGAGAGUUGUGAUGCCCCAUGAAUCAGUCCCAUCAAAGGGGCAGGGGCAGGGGGAGCAGGGCAGAGCAGAGCAAAGCGCGCGGAGCGUCCUCAUGGGGGCCGGCGGCCGGGGGUUUGGGCAUCUGCCCGCUACGAGGCCGGUGCACACCUUGGCUUCGGCCGCGCACUCGUGCCCCCAGCCCCGCAGCGCUGAACCAAAGCCCCGCCGCCUGACCGUUCCGCUGCUCCCUCGCGCUCUACAAGCUCAUUGUGAGAUACACGCCUCUCACUUCCGCCCUCCUUUCUCGCUCCCCCCCCCCCUGCUGCCGGGUGCCGCUCAGGUGCUGCUGGUGCAGAUCGCGGUGCCCUCCCGCACUGACGUGCCCGAGUACCAGAAGCUGCGCAGGUGAGGAGGAGCAGGGGAGGAGCAGGGCAGGAGCAAGGGAGGAGCAGGGGGGAGGGGUUGUAGAUACCAGCCCAAGCUAAACCGAAGCCCAUGCAAUAGAGCGAGGAGGAGAGCGGGGCAUAUGCUUCGACAACGGAGUGGCACGUGACAAAAGUCCCCACCCCCGAAAUGCACCGAGUUCCCAGCUUCCCAGCAAACCAUCCCGCAAACCAGUACAAAGUAGGCGAUGAGCUCUUGGGGGGAGGAGGGGGAGAGGCGCAGGGCGUGUGUGUGUUAGCGAUGUUGGGCAACUUCAGUGGGUCCCGGUCAGGAUCUCCACUCACCACGGCGCCCCCGACGGCACCCUCCGCCGCCACUCCCGCUCCCGCCCACCCAACCCUGCAGCCCCCGCCCCACCCCAUAUGGCCACCUUGCCCGCCUCCCCUACCCCUCAAUCAACCACUCCGUCUUUCAUGAACGGCUUCACCGCCCGCCUCCGCCUCCCCCUCCCCCUCCAUCAUCAACCCCAAGACUGAUCUGCUGCAACGGCCUGUCAACAUCACUUCAUCUUGCUUACAUCUGCAACCCCUCCCGCCUCCCCCUCCCGCUCCUCCCGCUCCUCCCCCUCCCGCUCCCCCUCCCUUAACUAAUCAUGACUGUAAUCCCCCUCCCCUCCUCCGCAGCAUGGUUCACGAGAUCGUGGGUCGCAUCAACGGGCAGUACGGCACGCUGACGUACGUGCCCAUCUACCACCUGGACACCUCGCUGUCCUUCACCGAGCUGUGCGCGCUGUACGCCGUGACGGACGUGGCGCUGGUGACCAGCCUGAGGGACGGCAUGAACCUGGUGAGGGGGGUGGGGGAAUGGUGGGAGGGAGCGGGCGGGCGGGGGAGGCGAGGGGCGGGGGUGGGGAUGUAAAUAGCAGCCCAAAGUAAACCAAAACCAACGGGGACGGGGACGGGGACGGGGACGGGGGCACGGGGGGUUUUAGAUACCAGCCCAAAGUACGUCGGAAGAGUGUGGUGAACACAGCCGCGCACAUGUCACACACGAGGCCUACCCGGAUCCCACCCCUGGGGCUCGGCACCAACGACCCCAUACACCGUAUGUACACACGCGCCGCACACACGCCCACACGCCCACACGCCGUUUCCCUUCCUCCCCUCGCCCCCUCCCCGUCCGCAGGUGAGCUACGAGUACGUGGCCUGCCAGAGCGACAACGCGGGUGUGCUGGUGCUGUCCGAGUUCGCCGGCGCCGCACAGGUGUGUGGGGGGUUGCAAAUACCAGCCCAAUUGAAACUAAAAUCAACGAAAACGGGGGAGUGAGCCCCCGCACUGCCACGGCGCCGCAGCCCCACUGCUGCCCCCGCCCCUUGUUGGCGCAUCAAGACGUUGGCAGUUCCGUGUUUUGUACAAACCGUUUGCAUCCAUGGCUACCCCCCAUCGCCCCCUCACCUCCCCCUCACCUCCCCCUCACCUGCUGCCUCCCCCCCUCCUCACCUCCCCCCCUCCCUCCUCCUCCCCUCCCCUCCCCUCCUCCCCUUCUCUGUACCAAUCCUUGCAACCCCCCCUCCUCCCCUCCUCCCCUCCUUUCCCCUCCCUCAGUCCCUGGGCGCGGGCGCUCUGCUUGUGAACCCCUGGAACAUCUCCGACAUGGCCACCGCCAUCUACGACGCCCUGUCCAUGAGCGAGGACGAGCGGCGCGAGCGGCACCGGCAGAACUACAUGCACGUGCAGGUGGGGGGGAAGGGCGGCGGGGCGUGGACUCUGAACCAAUGCCGUAAGGAAACAGCAACGCUGCAAGGAGAAGCUGCAGCCGCGCAUGCAAGCUACUGUGGGGGCCGGGGAGGGAGGGAGGGCGCGAGCGAGCGAGGGAGUGAGCGGGGACAGCAGCUGGCGGCACUAUGCUGUAAUACACGCCGCACACCUCUCCUGCUUCACUGCGCUCCAUAUAUCCACGCCCCGCCCCACACUCCAUCCCCAAGAUUGCCUACCGCCUACCACUUAUUUAGCUCAUCAUUUCUCUGAAAUUGAAUGCAACCCCCCUUCCCCCCAGACCCACACGGCGCAGCACUGGGCGGACACGUUCAUCACCGAGCUCAACGACACACACAUUGAGGCGGACCUGCGCAUGCGGCACACGCCGCCGCCGGUGAGCCCGACACAGCGGGGCACACACAGAGAUCCGCAGGAGGGGGGGGAAGGGACAAAGAGACGGGGUGAUGGAGUGACGGGCGGGACUUCGUUGUGACGUUCAUUGCGCGUUCUGCCGCCGCACCAUGUAUGGACGCACGCGCGCCUGGUGUUCACCGGCACGAAUCCGGCAUACCCUCUCUUACCCGCUGCGGGCGUCCUCCUCCCCGACGACCGCCGCCCCCGCCCGGGCCUCUGUGCCCCCGGGCCAAAUACCGUACACCCGUACCCCCUCGCCGCUGCCUGUGGUCCGCUAGUUUGGCUUAGGUAGGCCUAGUGUUUACCACCCCCGCUCUACCCUCACCUCUUAAACCCCCACCCGGCGGGUCUACGCGCUGGAGCUGGCCGCUGGACUUCACGGACAUCGGUAACAACGCGUCUACGCUGCAACUGUACCUGCCUACGACUUCACUUCUUAAUUAAUCAUGAAUGUAACCCCACCCGCCUCCCCCCGCCUCGCCCCUCCUGCUUCCCCCCUCAAACCCCCACCCCACCCCUCCUCCCCCCUCUUCCCCCUCCCCUACCCUCCCCUACCCCCCGCUCGCAGCUGGACGUGCAGGAGGUGGUCCGCGCCUACCAGUCCUCGCGGCGGCGCCUGGUGGUUCUGGGAUACAACGCCACACUCACAACCAGCGUGGAGGCGCCCAGGUGUGUGGGGGGGGGGGAGGCUGGGGGGCCGGGGGGGGGGGGGCGGCAGGGCGGGGAGGGCGUUGGGGGCGUGCGCGGUGGUAGGGGCCUGGUGGUUCCACCGUCCCAUGCGAAUGCAAAACAGACAGAGAGGCGAUGGAGUGCGCAUAUGGCUUUGGGGGGCUGGAGAAGUAUGGAUGCUCAGGGUUAAGUGGCCCGCCCACCCACCCAUCCCGGACCUCCUCCCUCCCUGACCUCCCUACUCGUCACGCAGGCUGCCCAAGCGCCAGUUCGAGCAGGUCAAGGCGCUGGCCAAGGUCAACCCGCGCGUGAUGCAGUCCGUGUGCGAGCUGUGCACGGUGAGAGGCAGGGGCGGCAGGGGCGGAACCAGGGGAGGGAGGCAGGGGACUAGGGGAGGGAGCGAGGCAGGCACGGCGGAACCAGGGGAGGGAGGCAGGGGCAGGGUCUUUCGCGUCUAUGCGCCUGCUGUACGUACCUUCACCACGCCCUCACCUCACGGCCACCUUUGCUACCUUGCAUCGGGUCAUCGGUCUGGAGUCUGCGCGCUGCUGCGCCAUGUCGACACCGCCUUCGCCUCCUCCUUCUAAUUCGUCAAGCCCGGCACGCCGCGCGCUCCCACCCACUUAACCAAUCAUGAUUGUAACCCCGCCCACCCCACCCCCCAGGACCCGAACAACGUGGUGGUUAUCUUCAGCGGCAGCGAGACCUCCAAGCUGGACGAGGUGUUUGGCCACCUGCCCGUGUGGCUAGCAGCGGAGAACGGCGUGUACGUGCGCCCGCCCGCGGCGCCGCUGCCGGGGGGGCCGGGAGGAGGAGCCGGAGGGGCGGGCGGGGGAGGAGGAGGCGGCGGCGGCACGCCCAAGGCGCCGGCGCUGCCGCGCGGGCAGAGCCUGCCGGGCGGCGCGCCAGCGCACCAGCAGCAGCAGGUGAGGGGGCGGGCGAGGGGACGAGGGUAUACAUGUAUGUGUGUGUAUGUUGGCCAACAAAACGGAGUCAUGUACCGUAUGUGUGUGCGCGCGUUUGCACGUAUGCAUCAUGUCGCGGGGAUCAGUCCGUCCUGCUUGGCCUAACAACCUCCCCUCCCCCAAACCUUUUACCCCCUACGCCCUCUCGUCUUUUAUAACAUGCAUGGACCCCCCCUCCCCGCCAUCCCCCCCCCCGUCGGUGCCCCGAGAUUGCUGUAUCCCCGAGAUUGCCUACCGUCUGUCAUUUUGUUAGCUGAUCAUGAAUGCAACCCCCCGCAGGAGCCUCGGCCGCCGCUGCCGCAGUGGAAGUGCGUGUUCGACCAAGUGCACUGUGAGUGGAUGGAGUCGGUGCAGCUGGUGUUCGACUACUUCUGCGAGCGCACGCCGAGGUCGUUUGUGGAGGCGCGCGAGACCAGCCUGGUGUGGAACUACAAGUACGCUGAUGUGGAGUUCGGCCGAAUCCAGGUGCGUUCCACUGCUGCAGUCCUGGUGCGGAAUGGUCUUCUUGUGGCAUGGCAGCUUAGCUCGCUAAGAGUCGACGGGGCUGGACAAGGACCAGCGGUUACCCGGCCUGUUGACACACGGAUCCUGAGCGAUGGGCACAUUCACCCGCCUGCUUCACCCGGCUGGGUGCGCCUCCCCGCGCCCCUGUGCGAGCAAUGAUGUUCUGUAAUCAUGAAUGUACCCUCCCCCGCAGGCUCGCGACCUGCUUCAGCACUUGUGGACGGGCCCCAUCAGCAACGCCCCCGUCGAGAUCAUCCAGGGCGGCAAGAGCGUGGAGGUGAGGCAGGGGCCGGAGGGGCAGUAGCAGUAGCAGGCAGUAGCAGCAGCAGGGACGGCAGCAGCACGGGGCCGCAGUAGCAGGGCAGGCCGCCGUAGCAGCAGCAGGCCGCACGGCGCAGGGCCCGCAGAACGAGGCCGCGACGCCAGUCCCUAAGAGGGCCGCGACGCCAGUCCGGGUGCUUACGGGGAACACGACCACCGGUCUUCUGCUGACCUUCUCUAGCGUUGGCUUUAUUACAUGUAUAUCGCUUUGCAAAAAACGCAAACUUGCAACCCUCCUCACUCCCUCGCUC